CCUACGGGAGGCAGCAGUGAGGAAUAUUGGUCAAUGGGCGGAAGCCUGAACCAGCCAAGUAGCGUGCGGGAUGAAGGCCCUACGGGUCGUAAACCGCUUUUGCACGGGGAUAACAUCCUCCACUUGUGGAUGUCUGCCGGUACCGUGCGAAUAAGGGCCGGCUCAUUCCGUGCCAGCAGCCGCGGUAAUACGGAAAGCCCGAGCGUUAUCCGGAUUCAUUGGGCUUAAAGGGAGCGUAGGCGGGCGUUCAAGUCAGCUGUAAAAUCGCGCGGCUCAACCGCGCCCCGCAGUUGACACUGGACGCCUUGAGUUCACAACAGGCAGGCGGAAUUCGUGGUGUAGCGGUGAAAUGCAUAGAUAUCACGAGGAACCCCGAUGGCGAAGGCAGCCGGCCGGGGUGCGACUGACGCUGAGGCUCGAAGGUGCGGGUAUCAAACAGGAUUAGAUACCCCUGUAGUC
rnacentral:rRNA from 1 species